rnacentral:rRNA from 1 species
UGGCGGCGUGCCUAAUACAUGCAAGUCGAACGCGUCUCCGUUAAUGAUUUUAGGUGCUUGCACUUGAAAGAUUUAACAUUGAGACGAGUGGCGAACUGGUGAGUAACACGUGGGUAACCUGCCCUUGAAGUAGGGGAUAACACUUGGAAACAGGUGCUAAUACCGUAUAACAACCAAAACCACCUGGUUUUGGUUUAAAAGACGGCUUCGGCUGUCACUUUAGGAUGGACCCGCGGCGUAUUAGCUUGUUGGUAAGGUAACGGCUUACCAAGGCGAUGAUACGUAGCCGACCUGAGAGGGUAAUCGGCCACAUUGGGACUGAGACACGGCCCAAACUCCUACGGGAGGCAGCAGUAGGGAAUCUUCCACAAUGGACGAAAGUCUGAUGGAGCAACGCCGCGUGAGUGAUGAAGGGUUUCGGCUCGUAAAACUCUGUUGUUGGAGAAGAACAGGUGUCAGAGUAACUGUUGACAUCUUGACGGUAUCCAACCAGAAAGCCACGGCUAACUACGUGCCAGCAGCCGCGGUAAUACGUAGGUGGCAAGCGUUGUCCGGAUUUAUUGGGCGUAAAGCGAGCGCAGGCGGUUUUUUAGGUCUGAUGUGAAAGCCUUCGGCUUAACCGGAGAAGUGCAUCGGAAACCGGGAGACUUGAGUGCAGAAGAGGACAGUGGAACUCCAUGUGUAGCGGUGAAAUG